rnacentral:misc_RNA from 1 species
AGUAAGUUAUUGCCAGGGUUUUUAUUUUAUGCUUUAAACAUUGAUUUUAUUUUUUAUGUUUUUAGAUGUUCAUGUUUUUGAAUGUUUUAUUUAAAUAAUAUAAAAAAUAAAAUAUAUAUUGACAUGGAUUAAACAAAGAUAUAUAUUAUUCUAUGUUGCAUAAACAAAUUGGCAAAAUAGAGAUGGAAGAUAAAAAUAUGGUCAAAGUAAUAAGAGUC